ACCUACGGGGGGCAGCAGUGGGGAAUUUUGGACAAUGGGCGCAAGCCUGAUCCAGCCAUUCCGCGUGAGUGAAGAAGGCCUUCGGGUUGUAAAGCUCUUUCGCAAGGGAAGAAACGAUUUAGGUGAAUAAUCUAAGUUAAUGACGGUACCUUGAUAAGAAGCACCGGCUAACUACGUGCCAGCAGCCGCGGUAAUACGUAGGGUGCGAGCGUUAAUCGGAAUUACUGGGCGUAAAGCGUGCGCAGGCUGUUUUGUAAGUCAGAUGUGAAAUCCCCGAGCUCAACUUGGGAACUGCGUUUGAAACUACAAGACUAGAAUAUGUCAGAGGGGGGUAGAAUUCCACGUGUAGCAGUGAAAUGCGUAGAGAUGUGGAGGAAUAUCAAUGGCGAAGGCAGCCCCCUGGGAUAAUAUUGACGCUCAUGCACGAAAGCGUGGGGAGCAAACAGGAUUAGAUACCCCGGUAGG
rnacentral:rRNA from 1 species